UACGAAGGGGGCUAGCGUUGUUCGGAAUUACUGGGCGUAAAGGGCGCGCAGGCGGCCAUUGAAGUCAGAUGUGAAAGCCCCGGGCUCAACCUGGGAACUGCAUUUGAUACUCGAAGGCUAGAGUUCGGGAGAGGAGAGUGGAAUUCCCAGUGUAGAGGUGAAAUUCGUAGAUAUUGGGAAGAACACCGGUGGCGAAGGCGGCGACCUGGUCCUUGACUGACGCUGAGGCGCGAAAGCGUGGGGAGCAAACAGG
rnacentral:rRNA from 1 species